CACGGUUGGGGUGCCUCCUAACGCUGAGCCGGCCUGAGACCUGGGAGCUGGAAGGCCGCUGUGCCUGCUAUUCCGAGGCGAGUCUCAGGCUCGGCGUGGGCGCCAUCCGACCUGACUCUGUCUCGGGGUCGCGACGGGGUCUGCAGAGCCCGAUCCCGCAUUCACCAACGGACUUCUUUGGCGGCAGCCACAUUGAUGGUUCCGACUCAGGUUCCACAUUCAGAAGAACCACUUAUGGACCCGUCACUGUUACCAGGCUUUUGUGGUGGAACUUGGGGAGUUUGUGACAGAAUGUCACGUGAAUUUCUGUAAGGUGUGUCAAGUAGGUAUGAUUUUGAAUGGCUGUUAUAUGGACAAAGAUUGGAAUUGGUAAGGAGACAUAAUGUGCAGUAUACAAGUGGACCCUGACAGGGGUUUUUAGGUCUGCAUGUUGUGACUGAGGUUGGAACUAGGACCAAGGCCUGGUGGGGAAGCCUUCAGAACAGGGCUGGCAAGCUGCCAGUGGAGAGUUGGGGUUUGGUGGGAUUCUGUUGCGUUGAAAGGAUUUUCAGGUGUCAUGU
rnacentral:lncRNA from 1 species